GCCUACGGCCAUGCCACGCAGAACGUGCCCAAUCUCAUCUGAUCUCAGAAGCUAAGCAGGGUUGGGCCUGGUUAGUACUUGGAUGGGAGACCACCUAGGACUAGGUGCUGUAGGCG
rnacentral:rRNA from 1 species